rnacentral:lncRNA from 11 species
GCUGGCUGAGUUGGCUUCCUGAGAAGCCUAUUGCAUUUGAGCCCCGUCCUAACCCCCACUCGGGCCUUUUGACGCUGGUUGGAUGCCCUGUUCUCCGUUCUGGCGAUGGGCAGCUCCCCCUGGCCUUUCUGUGCCCAGAAAGGGCCUUCUCGCCUCACGGAGCGACGUGCCUCCUGCCCAAGGACCCAUUGGGCCCCUCGGAGCAGAGGGAUCCGUGGGAAGGAGACCCCAGAGGCAGCUUUUAGGGUCGAGGCCAGGCCUAAGGACGUUGAGGCUGGAGUUCCUUGAACUGAAGCGAGCGGCGAGAGCAGCGACUGCGCAGGCGCAGCUGGUCGCCCAGAGAGUUCGCUCGCCCUGCGAAGCCCCUGGAAAUGAAUGGCGGUGCCUGGCCAGCGCAGCAGUGCCGGGUUCGUAUCGCGGCGCCUUUAGAGCCAUUGCGAGCAGGCUCUCAUUCUAUGGAAACCAGAGUUUUGGAGCUUAAUAAAGUACCAGCAUAAGCUUGAAGGCCCUGCUCAGCCAAGGUGACUCACUGAGUGACCGCAAGGAAGUCACUUCUCUGGGCCUCAGAGGAAGGCAGUGGAAAUCCCUUUUGAAUGAAUCUCACUGCCCAAAGCACCCACAAUAGGUUCACGUUAGGGUUGGGACAAGCUGAAAACACCCUGAAGGCACAUAACAAGAACAACAAAAUACUUUGAAUUCUCAGCUGGAGAACCUCUAGCCCAGUCCCCUAAGCUACAGCAAUAGAGCUCUAUGGCAGAAAGUUCUAAGCACCUUUUAUUUUUAUGUGGAGAAAUUCUCAGUUAGACUCAGUCAUGCAUUCUCACCAAGUUCUAGUGGACCAAACACACAUUUUCUGAUUCAGUGAGAACUAGGCCUGAGUCUUCCUUCUUCAGUAGUUUGCUAGAUCCUCUACUUUGAGACAGAACCUGGAUUUAUUUAUGUAUUUUAGAGCAACAAAUUCCAGAAUGUCCAGACAGCAGUUGCCAUCCUGCUUGGCAAAAUCUAGGGCUUGCAGAUCAAAGACAUUGUGUCCCCAAGCUCUACUUUGAAAGUGUGAACUUUCUUUGCUAAGUUUAGGAGGCCAGGUCUGAUCAAGCCUGAUUCCUUGCCUCAUUUGAAACAGCAUCUGCAAAUGAACAGCUCAGAGUUCUAAAGGGAAGAUUGUUAUGCAAGGAGAGGUGGUGGUGAUUGUUUUAUUUCUGUCUUGUGAACCACCCAGAGAACUACUGAAUGUCAUAGAAAUACAGUAAAUAAAUGCCUGUUUUCAUUUGUAUAUGCAAGCACCAAUAAACACUUUUAGAUAAAGGAAGAUGAUUAGUCAUUUUUU